rnacentral:rRNA from 1 species
AACGAACGCUGGCGGCAGGCUUAACACAUGCAAGUCGAGCGCAUCCUUCGGGGUGAGCGGCAGACGGGUGAGUAACGCGUGGGGAUGUGCCUGGUGGUACGGAACAACUCAGGGAAACUUGAGCUAAUACCGUAUAAGCCCUUUUGGGGAAAGAUUUAUCGCCACCAGAUCAACCCGCGUUGGAUUAGCUAGUUGGUGAGGUAACGGCUCACCAAGGCGACGAUCCAUAGCUGGCCUGAGAGGAUGAUCAGCCACACUGGGACUGAGACAUGGCCCAGACUCCUACGGGAGGCAGCAGUGGGGAAUAUUGGACAAUGGGCGCAAGCUUGAUCCAGCCAUGCCGCGUGAGUGAUGAAGGCCUUAGGGUUGUAAAGCUCUUUCACUGGGGAAGAUAAUGACGGUACCCAGAGAAGAAGCCCCGGCUAACUUCGUGCCAGCCGCCGCCGUAA